ensembl:lncRNA
GGACACCAAUGAGUUCCUCUCGGAGUUUCUUCUGGGCCUCAAGGACAUUGGGCACACCCUCCAGAUGGGUGAUGUGUCCCAUCGGUGCCCAGUGGACACUCUGCUCUCCUUCCAGCUCCAGCACAUAAGAUCUGGCUGGAGGCAGACAUUAUUCCUGAGUCAGGUUGAAUACAGCUGUGAGCGGUGUGGGGGUCAGGUGUCGAGCCUGAGGUGUGGUUUCCAUACGCUGCCUUGGGUUCUCAUUUUACACCUGAAGAGGUUUUGCCCCUUUACCCUCACCAAAAGCAUGGCACCGCUUCAGCUGGAGGCAGAGCUCCAGAUCAAACAAAGCACUGCUCUGUCAGUGCUCCCAGAACUGACCCAAUCCUAGUGUGCGCGUACCAUUGUCUCCCGAGACUGACAGAUGCCAGACAGCCUGACCUGCACCUCCCCAGAAUUGGAACCACGCGGCGACACGGACUGCAACAACUGUGACUGGUCCACCCCCGAUGUGUGUGGGUGUGUUAAUAAACAUCACGCUGC